CUCAUCACAGCCACAGCCAGGGGAUUCCCCCAGUCUGAUCCCGUCCAGUUGUCUCAACAACCAUGUUCUUGUAUUUACACCUUUCUAAACAAAGCUGAAGUGGACUAAGACUGCUUAUUCAUGCUCUCCUCGCAAGUCACUCUCACACUGAUGUCAUCCAGUAAAGCCGAACUGAUGGGAAUUGAAAAGCCUUUUUUUUUAAAAUAGCACUUUAAGGACCCACAGAGUCAUGUCCGAAUGUGAUGCUGCUGAGUGCUGCAAAUGUGCCCACUGCCGAGAUCCCAACAAAAGAGACGCCACGGUGGAGGCGCUCGGCCGGCCCCGCAGCUCGGACAAUAGUCCUCUGUUCCAAAUAUGCUGUUUGUCACAUCGCCUUCCUUUAACUUGUCAAUAGUGCUGUUGUCAUUCCAAACUUCAACUUUAUCCCACAUCCUAUGCUGCAGGGUCUGAGGUUUCACCUUUAGCUGGAUUUAAACUGAACACAGGUUUAUGUUUUGUGUGUAUUCACCCAUCUUUACUGAGAUACUUUUAAAUAAAGUCCAGCACAAUUUGUGACUUG